UGUUCUACGAUGUAGGGAAUAGGUUAUUAGGUUUUUUCCCUAAUUCAGAUUCAGGUGAAGACAUCAAUUGUAAUUGCUGGCCCUAUUCCCAGUUGAAGGUUCUGGAAGCUUCAACCUCCCCUGCCGGCUAGACUGGAAACCUACGUCGUUCUCAAAAAACCAGCUGGGAAAUUUGCUUUACAGGCUGGUUCAUAAUUUCUUGGGUAGCUUAUAGCCUUGACUGGCACCUAUAAUCCGCUGAGAGCCUUAGCUUCCCCUCUUCCAGAACCUUCUCUGACGAAUAGGUAGCUCUAUUCCUACACAUGAAGCUUAGGGAGCCAAUGAUGUCAAACUUCUAUAAAUUCUUCAUCUUCCUUCCUGUUCUCCCCACGCUUGUUAUCCUCAUUAACGGAAAUCAUGAGACGACGGUGGGGAGAGAGACACGGUGGGUUCUGCUUCGUCAUGGCCUGGGGCGUUUCAGCGGCGCAAACAAGGCGAAGCAAACGGCGGCCAUCGCGAUUUAAGAGAGCGGCACAACAGGACUGGUGAUGUUGACUUCGGGGAAACGACGGCGGCGGCACCAAAGCCAGCGGGAGCAGCGUUCGACUUCGACCCUCUUCCUCCUCAACGAUUCCGGUGACAUCCCCCUCCUCAGCCAUUGAGCAAUCAGCGAGAGUCAACCUCUCUUGUCUUCUCCAGCCCUCGAAGGAAGAGAUUCAGACAAAAUGGGCAACAUAGUAAAUCUAGAUGAGAGUGUUUUCGAUGUGGAUGGAUGAUAACACCUCUAUUGAUAAGCUCUCUAGAUAUUUGAAUCUCAAGGUUGAUGUAGGGAGCAGGGACCAAGUUUUCCCCUCAAGUUUAUUGAAAGUUUGUACCGAUGUGUGUGGAUUUAAAUAGACAGAGCACAGAGAUGUAGUCAUGCAUUUGUAGUUUGCAAUUCAAGGUUAUGGAUCAAGCUAUGGCGUGGACCGGACACUGCAAUUUCAUGGCUGAUAAAUGAACAGUUUUGGUUUAUUGGAGAGACCAAUGCCCAUUUAGCUAUUGUCCCCCAAGUCCUGCUGAAAGUCAUUGCAAGCAUUCAGAUCUCCUUGGUGAUGAUGGAGUAAAACUACUUUUCAAAUUGAACUUGCAUAGCUCAGAGUGGAAGAGAUGGAUCAUGGUAUUGCAGAUGAAUCAAGUGUUGCACCCAAGGCACAGAUUCAGAUGAAAUAACUGUAGAUAACUGUAGAGGAUUGGAAGAAUUGCUUAAGAGAGUUCAAGAUUCUAUCAAUUGGGAGAAGAUUCCAAAGAGUAGACAACCUCUACUUCUCUGCUUGGUGAAAGGAAAAGAAAGAUGACAUAACUGAAACUCCUCAACAUGCACAUUAUCAAAUCCCUUCUUUGACCGUAGCCCGGGAAAUACUGUAUGUGUUAGAUGGACUUUGCAUGCGAAAGCUUCUCCAAGUAAACACUCCUCUUGGCAAACAUGGCUGUUAAGAUGAGAGGAACCGUUGCAGGAGACAAAUGCCUAAAUUGUGACCGCUGGCCAUAUGAAAUGUGAAUGCAUAGAUCACACUACUAUCAGUAAACUCAUGCAAGUGGAGAAUUGAUUAUCUUGGAUAGUUAUUUACCAAUUACAGAAUUUCAGUUGAAGAGGUGAAUUCAAUACACUUCAAGCCAAUUUAAGACAGAAUUUGAAAGAUUGUUAUUAUGAAUUUAGAACCUGCCGAAUUUUUGAAAACUAUCUCCCUUGGUUCUUAUUAUCCAUUAAUAUGUUAUGAAAAGUAAGAGCAAAUGACUGCCAUAGAAUUUCAGAAAAACAUGCAAGUGGAUAUUAAAUUGUUUUGAAUA